GGGGGGGGGGGGGGGGGGGGGGGGGGGGGGGGGGGGGGGGGGCGGAGGGGGGGGGGGGGCGGGAUGCGGGGGGGGACGGGGGGGGCAUGGCUAGGGAGCGGCCGGGGAGUGGGGGAUAGCGUGCGGGAAGGGGGGCUAAUCGCGCGGACGUCCGGGGGGAGAAAGGGGGGGAACUGCGGACAUCACGCUAGAAGCUGAGGCUAGGUCGGAUGAGCGAGUUGGUGUGGUAAGGGCCUACCAAGGCGACGAUCAGUAACAGGUCUGAGAGGAUGAUCAGUCACACUGGAACUGAGACACGGUCCAGACUCCUACGGGAGGCAGCAGUGGGGAAUAUUGGACAAUGGGCGAAAGCCUGAUCCAGCCAUGCCGCGUGUGUGAAGAAGGUCUUCGGAUUGUAAAGCACUUUAAGUUGGGAGGAAGGGCAGUAAGUUAAUACCUUGCUGUUUUGACGUUACCAACAGAAUAAGCACCGGCUAACUUCGUG
rnacentral:rRNA from 1 species